rnacentral:rRNA from 1 species
GACGAACGCUGGCGGCGUGCCUAAUACAUGCAAGUGGGACGCAAGGAAACACACUGUGCUUGCACACCGUGUUUUCUUGAGUCGCGAACGGGUGAGUAACGCGUAGGUAACCUGCCUAUUAGCGGGGGAUAACUAUUGGAAACGAUAGCUAAUACCGCAUAAUAUUAAUUAUUGCAUGAUAAUUGAUUGAAAGAUGCAAGCGCAUCACUAGUAGAUGGACCUGCGUUGUAUUAGCUAGUUGGUAAGGUAAGAGCUUACCAAGGCGACGAUACAUAGCCGACCUGAGAGGGUGAUCGGCCACACUGGGACUGAGACACGGCCCAGACUCCUACGGGAGGCAGCAGUAGGGAAUCUUCGGCAAUGGACGAAAGUCUGACCGAGCAACGCCGCGUGAGUGAAGAAGGUUUUCGGAUCGUAAAGCUCUGUUGUAAGUCAAGAACGUGUGUGAGAGUGGAAAGUUCACACAGUGACG